CAGCCGCCGCGGUAAUACGAAGGGGGCUAGCGUUGUUCGGAUUUACUGGGCGUAAAGGGCGCGUAGGCGGGCGAAUAAGUCAGGGGUGAAAUCCCAAGGCUCAACCUUGGAACUGCCUUUGAUACUGUUUGUCUUGAGUCCGGGAGAGGUGAGUGGAACUGCGAGUGUAGAGGUGAAAUUCGUAGAUAUUCGCAAGAACACCAGUGGCGAAGGCGGCUCACUGGCCCGGAACUGACGCUGAGGCGCGAAAGCGUGGGGAGCAAACAGGAUUAGAUACCCCUGUAGUCCCUGUCUCUUAUAC
rnacentral:rRNA from 1 species